rnacentral:rRNA from 1 species
CAGCAGCCGCCGCGGUAAUACGAAGGGUGCAAGCGUUAAUCGGAAUUACUGGGCGUAAAGCGUGCGUAGGCGGUGAGUUAAGUCUGCUGUGAAAUCCCCGGGCUCAACCUGGGAAUGGCAGUGGAUACUGGCUCGCUAGAGUGUGUCAGAGGAUGGUGGAAUUCCCGGUGUAGCGGUGAAAUGCGUAGAGAUCGGGAGGAACAUCAGUGGCGAAGGCGGCCAUCUGGGACAACACUGACGCUGAGGCACGAAAGCGUGGGGAGCAAACAGGAUUAGAUACCCCAGUAGUCCCUGUCUCUUAUAC